UGAACUUUGUUAGAAAGUUCAAAUGUAUGAACCUCUGUUACCUUUCUACUUUGGUUGGCAAAUGUAACUUACUUCUGCUUGUUUUCGUGUCCUUAAUAUGCAUUUUCUGUGCGGAGGUAUGCCCAGUAAUAGAUAAUUGUAACAUUGAUAGUGCAUCAAAUCCGUGAUCUUGGUAGUUUAGGUUAACCACGGCAGCCCUUCCUAUUGGGUUUUGCACUCUAUUCAUUGCUACACACAGAACAGAUGAUGCAAGUUCUAGUGACACUGGCAUGGUUGCCUCCCUCUUAACUGCAUUGCAAAUCUUUUUUGAGACUUUGGUAGAGCAACUACUAUUAAUUCUUUUGGCUUCUGGGUAGUUUGGCUAACACUUUGCAAGGGAAAUUGACUACGAACUCCACCUAUAAAGCUUGUACAACGCCAGUCGGAAAAGGAAAGAACAGAAUAAUGCAUAUACUAUGUGUGUCGUAAUGGUUGAUGAUUGGAGGUUUGUCUUUGAUCAUCGCUUGUUACUGUUGUAGCCGCCUAGAUAUCUGGUAGAUCGUGAGAAGGCUUUGGAAUUUCUACUGAUGCAGGAACCUGAUUUGCCAAAUUUGUCAAAAGCAAGAUAUGGGGAGACAUUGUGCAACUGGGUUUUGGAAAUCCAUGAGAACUGCGACAGUACAAGUAGUUUCAUGGAUUGACUGAAAAUUCUGCAGUUUAAGAUUGUGACUGUUGCCAGUUGGCGACCAUCUUUGAGAUAAAACCAGGUUCGUCGAAGCUAGGAUAUUUUUGCCCUUGUCCCAUGGAGCAUCAGCUGCAAUUUGCAGGCAAGAAUAUUCCAGACUGGAGAAGAAGAUUAGGAAGAAUGUUGUAGUCACAGUAGCAUCAAUUUUAGUGUCAACUUGGUAGAGAAUAUAUUCUCGGCAGUGAAGAAUGUACAUGUAAUGAUGCAUUCGGAUAUUAGCAAGUGAAAAAGAUGGAAUAACUUGUGUGAGAA